CUGGCGGCGUGCCUAACACAUGCAAGUCGAGCGGAGAUUGUAGCAAUACAAUCUUAGCGGCGGACGGGUGAGUAACGCGUGGGCAACCCGCUUUUACAGGGGGAUAACACAGGGAAACUUGUGCUAAUACCGCAUAACAUAUCGAUAUGGCAUCGUAUUGAUAUCAAAGGAGUAAUCCGGUAAAAGAUGGGCCCGCGUCCAAUUAGCUAGUUGGUGGUGUAAUGGACCACCAAGGCGACGAUUGGUAGCCGAACUGAGAGGUUGAUCGGCCACAUUGGGACUGAGACACGGUCUAGACUCCUACGGGAGGCAGCAGUGGGGAAUUUUGCGCAAUGGGGGAAACCCUGACGCAGCAACGCCGCGUGAGUGAUGAAGGCUCUUGGGUCGUAAAGCUCUGACAGAGGGAAAGAAGUGUAUUGUGGCUAAUAUCCACGAUACUUGACGGUACCCUCAAAGGAAGCACCGGCUAACUCCGUGCCAGCAGCCGCGGUAAUACGUAGGGGGCAAGCGUUGUCCGGAAUUAUUGGGCGUAAAGCGCGCGCAGGCGGUCGUUUAAGUCUGGAGUUUAAACCUAGGGCUCAACCUUGGGUCGCUCUGGAAACUGGGGGACUGGAGUGUAGGAGAGGAAAGUGGAAUUCCACGUGUAGCGGUGAAAUGCGUAGAUAUUAGGAGGAACACCAGUGGCGAAGGCGGCUUUCUGGACAGUAACUGACGCUGAGGCGCGAAAGCGUGGGGAGCAAACAGGAUUAGAUACCCUGGUAGUCCACGCUGUAAACGAUGGAUACUAGGUGUAGGGGGUAUCGACCCCCCCUGUGCCGCAGUUAACACAUAAGUAUCCCACCUGGGGAGUACGGCCGCAAGGUUG
rnacentral:rRNA from 1 species